rnacentral:rRNA from 1 species
UAGGGAAUCUUCCGCAAUGGACGCAAGCCUGACGGAGCAACGCCGCGUGAGUGAAGAAGGAUUUCGGUUCGUAAAACUCUGUUGUUAGAGAAGAACAGCGCAUAGAGUAACUGUUAUGCGUGUGACGGUAUCUAACCAGAAAGCCACGGCUAACUACGUGCCAGCAGCCGCGGUAAUACGUAGGUGGCAAGCGUUGUCCGGAUUUAUUGGGCGUAAAGCGAGCGCAGGCGGUCAAUUAAGUCUGAUGUGAAAGCCCCCGGCUCAACCGGGGAGGGUCAUUGGAAACUGGUUGACUUGAGUGCAGAAGAGGGGAGUAGAAUUCCAUGUGUAGCGGUGAGAUGCGUAGAUAUAUGGAGGAACACCAGUGGCGAAGGCGACUCUCUGGUCUGUAACUGACGCUGAGGCUCGAAAGCGUGGGUAGCAAACAGG